rnacentral:rRNA from 1 species
UACAGAGGGUGCGAGCGUUGUUCGGAAUUAUUGGGCGUAAAGCGCGUGUAGGCGGUGAUGCAUGUCGGGUGUGAAAGCCCUCAGCUCAACUGAGGAAGUGCGCCCGAAACUGCAUCGCUGGAGUGCCGGAGAGGAAGGCGGAAUUCCCGGUGUAGAGGUGAAAUUCGUAGAUAUCGGGAGGAACACCAGUGGCGAAGGCGGCCUUCUGGACGGACACUGACGCUGAGACGCGAAAGCGUGGGGAGCGAACAGG